GCUAUGACAUGACCGCCGCCUGACCGCCAUUUUCCUAAUGAAAAGUUAUAAAGUGGUGGUGAAAGAAUCGUGUAAUCGAUAAACUGAUUCUCAACAAUAUUUUCAUGAUAUUCUGAGUGCAUUUACAAGUAAUUUACUUCCUUUCUGUGUAAUAUGUACAAAAUUGAUUAAUUGGAAGUAUUAAAUCUUCAAAAACAAGUGCACCGCUAACUGCUUCAUGUAAAAUGUCUCGUUACGGCGAUUGUAAGGUAUACGUUGGUGAUUUGGGUAAUAAUGCCAGCAAGCCAGAAUUGGAAGAUGCAUUUUCGUACUACGGUCCGUUGAGGAAUGUGUGGGUGGCAAGAAACCCUACUGGCUUUGCUUUCGUUGAAUUUGAGGAUCCUCGCGAUGCUGAAGACGCAAUACGCGGUUUAGAUGGACGGACGAUAUGUGGUCGUCGAGCUCGCGUGGAAAUGUCAAAUGGCGGCCGUGGCUACGGGGGCCGUGGGCCUCCACCGCGCUCGCGUCCGCCGCCGCGUCCCUACGACGAUCGUUGCUAUGAUUGUGGUGACCGAGGACACUAUGCCAGAGAUUGUACCCGUCGUCGGCGCCGCAGGUUAUCAUUGUCCUGUGCACCGAGACUGAACUCUUCAGUGUCUGCACUUCUUAUUGUCUGCGCUACCUAGUGUUCACGUGGCUUCGUGUACUCCUCAAAUGUUGGCAGCAACUGUAACUUCGCUCUGCGAACUGCGUAACUUCAGCCUACAUGCACACUUCACUUAAUGAGAAGUUACAUUGGGUGUAAUGUUUGUACUGCGCACUGCGACACUUCUGUUGUUAUUCCUACGUGCGCUCACCGCUCCAGGUCUCGCCGCCGCACGCGCUCGCGCUCGCCGAGGUCGGGCUCUCGCUCCCGCAGCCGCUCCCGCUCUCGCUCCCGUUCCAAACCAAGAUCUAUGUCUCGUUCGAGAUCCCGUUCGCCAUCCAAGGAUUCAA